AAACGCUGUAGCUCGCUCCACCUGCUGCUGCCGCUGCCGCCGCCGCCGCCGCCGCCUUUGCCACUGCGAGAACUGUAGCGGUGCGACCCGGGAUUCCCUCCUCUCGGCGCCCCACCCUCGACUCCUGUUCCGCUGAGCGCGCCCUCCCCGGCGGGCGGAGACUGCAGCGCCGGGGGCUGAGGAAAGGUGGGUGGCGAAGCGCCGCCGGGCGCUUGGUGGCCGCUGCCGCCGCCACUGCAGCUGUGCACGCCCGCCUCUCGGAGGAAACUUGAAGCCAGCAGUACAACCAUCCGACCUUGGGACUAGGGAAACGUGGACUUGGUGGGCUAUUCUGCGCUGAAGAGGCAGCAACGAGGGCUCGGUGGUAUUGGUGUUGGUCCUAGUGGAAUUGUCAAGAGGAUGCUUUUGAAGUGGCCCAGCAUCUUGGAAGUUCACCAUGCUUGCUUUGCAAGAGAUUCCUGACGCUGCAGUGAAAGAGGUCCAGUCAUUCCAGAGAGAACUUCAGUUUCAGACAAGUCAUCAAAUCCAGAAAGCAAGGAAAAAUACCCUGAAAGACGACUGGCAAAUCUCGGUGAAAGAGUAGACGCACUUCAUGGAUUGGAGUGAAUCUUAGAGCACCUGGUACCUUGCACAGGACCUGAUGCCUGGAGGUACAGCAGCCAUCUUGUGACCAUAAGGAGGAAAUCAACGCAUUAAGAAGGGAAAAGCUAAGAAGAUACAGAGAGCAGGGACCACUGACAACAUGAUCAAGCCACUCUACCAGGCCUUAACUUCCUAUUCCCUGACUUCUUAUUGAAAGAGACAAUAAAACUUCUCAUUUGUUUUAACCCAUAGAAGUAAGGCAUUCUGUUACUUAUGGGUGAACACAAUUCUUAACUGAUGCCAUGGUUUAAUGGGAGUAGGGAUCCUGGUAUGACAGGAAAUUGAG
rnacentral:lncRNA from 1 species